AGUAACUGCUUGUGUUAGUUCCUGCCUGUAGGCUGUGUGAGUGUGUGUUUGGGAGUGUAUGUGAAAGAGAGAGAGAAAGGGAGAGAGUAGCAUUUACGUUUCACCUCCCUGUCUCCCUGUUCCCUGUCAUUCCACUCCUCUCUUCUCCUCCCUCGUUCCCUCUCCUGGACUACCCCAUUGGGACCUACCCAGACCCCUUCCCUGCCUGGACCCUCUACUCUCCAUCCCUUUGACUCUCCUCAUCUCUCCAUCCCUCCCUCUCCCGGGUCAAGUCAGGUCAGAGAUAUUCAAGACAGUUGGCAUGCAUACAGCCAGUGAUCCUGAGAAGCUUUCUUCCUCCUUGCAGACCAUGGCUCUGCUUCACGUCUUUGUUAACAAUCCAACGACUGUUGUCUGGAAUAAGAACAGAAGAAUGUGGUCUCUAUAGCUUGAAAAGUGGAGAGAUAAAACGAAAUCCCCCCACAUAAAGAUAAGUUGAAAAAUACCCAUUCAUUAGUACUUAUAGGCAUCUGGCAUGUGACGGUACAGAGCUUAUAAAGAUUGUUGGUUAUAAUGUUAUUAACGUUGUAUUCUUGACAUCUCAGUAACCCUCUGUCUGUACAGUAUGACACUUUGCUGCAGAGAUCAAAAGGCUUUAAAGAACCACUUUGGCUUUGCAUAAUGGGUCCAGAACCUGCCAUUCAGGCAAUACUGUGCCUUAUUGUUCCAUUGUCAACCUCUCAAUAGGAUGAAUGAAUGUUUUGUACUGAGUGUGUGAAAUGCAGCUCAAUAAUGUGACAUUUAUUGAAAACAUAAGAAUAGUUAAAUUGGCAAAAUAACUCUCUGAAGUGGGCACGUGUUUGCAGUGGAGCCAUAUUAUGUUGUAAUCUAUUUUCAGUAUCUGCUCUAUGCAUCGAUAGUACUGUAGCUCUGAAACAUACCUGCUGUGUACAUGCCUCAGGUUUUUGGCAGUUCCAUAUACUCCCAUAUGGCUCCUCAACAAGGAGCUGACAUGAGCUGUGUUUAUCAGGUGUAAGGAGGAAAAGUGACGAUGGCUUAUA